UGGGGAAUAUUGCACAAUGGGCGCAAGCCUGAUGUAGCCAUGCCGCGUGUAUGAAGAAGGCCUUCGGGUUGUAAAGUACUUUCAGCGGGGAGGAAGGGAGUAAAGUUAAUACCUUUGCUCAUUGACGUUACCCGCAGAAGAAGCACCGGCUAACUCCGUGCCAGCAGCCGCGGUAAUACGGAGGGUGCAAGCGUUAAUCGGAAUUACUGGGCGUAAAGCGCACGCAGGCGGUCUGUCAAGUCGGAUGUGAAAUCCCCGGGCUCAACCUGGGAACUGCAUUCGAAACUGGCAGGCUAGAGUCUUGUAGAGGGGGGUAGAAUUCCAGGUGUAGCGGUGAAAUGCGGAGAGAUCUGGAGGAAUACCGGUGGGGAAGGCGGCCCCCUGGACAAAGACUGACGCUCAGGUGCGAAAGCGUGGGGAGCAAACAGG
rnacentral:rRNA from 1 species